AUUUCGUUGGACAGUCUGUUACACAUUUCAAACAAUGUAGGCUUUUACAGCACGGAACCGAGACUUGCGAUGCAGUUGAUGCGAUGCGAUGCCCGAACAUAGCUGAGCCGUCCUGGCGCAGUUGAGUUGAUGACUCGUAGUGGGAGAUGUUUGCGACGCCUUCUGUGAGUCCCACAUUACUGUAACUAAUUUCGUUACUUUUUUUGGGUACCUUUGAAGCACAGUGGCCGCGUCCGGCGUUGUGACGCAGUUAGCGAAACUAAGCUCGACCGUGUGUGUGACGCUUUUAGUUUCGCGUGUACUGAAUCUUACUGGGACAAGUUCAUGAGACAUUCUCUGACCCCCAACGUUAUUGUAAUUUAGUUAAUUUUUUGGGGGAUACAUUUGAGGCACGCCGGCCACGCCUGACGUUGUGACGCACUUUGCAAGAAGCUAAACAGUAGUCUACUAUAAGAAAUAUCUUGCUCUAAUAAGUGCCGCAUAGAGCUUCUGCAGCAGUUAUGCUAUGCGUGGCUUAUGUUGCUCAUAAAUUACAUCAAUAUGGAUCUCGAAAAAAAAAAAAACAGUGUGAGAGAAAGUCCACUGCAAAAAAGAAAGCUCCGGAAGCUUGAAAAUUAGGAACAGUUUCUUACUGAUAUUUUGUUCGUUUCGUAAUUUGGAUGGUUCUUAAGGUGGCCCCUGAUUAGCCAACCUUUACAAAAUAUUUCGGUAUAUUUCAAUAUAUCCGUAAAUGUCGUGCAACGUAUUGUCUUUGUGCAUACAAUCAUUGCUCCCGAACUUGCAUUCUCCUUUUUCAACAUUAAUAGACAGCUGCCAUACAAAGAUCUUGGGAUGAUAGAACCUUGUGGAGUUCUCUUCGAUAAAGUUGUGUAAGCACUAACGUUGCUUGACGCUAUUUACUUCAGUGGUUUCAUUAUUCCUGCGUAACCGUGUGGGAGGGGGGUGGGGAAUGCUUCAAGGCUUCGCGUUCCAACCGCUUUCUCGGUGCUUUUCACGUAUGCUUAUCGUUUCUUUUUUUAUUUUGCAUCGGUGCCGAGAACGAGCGAUCGACAUGUUCCUGUCGCGGCAACAUCUGUCGGAGAAAGACGAUGCUGGCCUUUGGUUCAUCACCGGGUCAAGCAUGGGAGGCACCACGGUGCCCUGUUUUACGUGUUAGGCCAGCAAGGUUGACCUGGCUCCUGGAGCAGCGAGGUGAACAGCAUCUGCCGCCGCACGCUCAAGUCAGGCGACAGGUGCCAGGUGCGAGCAACCAGGGUCCUCACCGGAAGUGGCGACUAUGGCGAGGAUGUCCUCACCGCGGACUUGGAACGGCAUUUCCUCGAUCAGGAGCAACUUGGUGCGAGACCGCCGAACAGCCGCAGACCCAGGCUGGAGAGGUUCAGCUCGAACGUCAGGUCUCGAACCUGCGUCAGAGUGGCCACAUUUAUCGUCGCGACAACGAGGCAAUCGACACAAUUGCUGGAAACUGCGACAGACGCGUCGUUACUCACACACACAAAAAUAAAAAGACUCAAAACAGCGCUGGCCGCAAGGCCAGAAGAAAACGACGAUGGCGGUGUGUAGCGCCGAUGACGUGCAAGACGACUCAUGCUUCACGUACCACGAGUCCAACUAAUGAGUAUUCGCUGGGUAGUAGAAAUAUAGCACCGAAAUAUAGCA